rnacentral:lncRNA from 1 species
AGCUGCUGCUGCUGGUUCUGUUGCUCGCCGGAGAAAGAAAAAAGGGCCGGAGUGGGAGCUGGCUUUCGCUGGCUGCUGCUGUCUGCCAUGCCUGGCUUUGGUCGCCGGAGCUGCUGGUGCCGGUGGAGGAGGUGUUCGCUGCUGCUGCUGGUGGUUGCUGGCUUCCUCCUCCUCGCUGCUGCUGGUUGCUACGCUGGCUGCUCACUGGAGUUGCUGUCCAGCUUCCUUCGCCUGAAAAGGAGGAGAAGAAGAGAUAGGGGCAAGGGGAGAUAAAUGAGAAAGUGUGAAGGGAGAGAGAGAGGGCGCCGGAGAGGGAGACGGGGAGGAGGAGAGGCGACUGCCUCCGGUGGCUUUCGCCGGAAAAAAAUAUGGUGGGGAGAGAGGGUGGCGGCUGCCCGGAGAGGAGAGGAAGAGAUGAAUUUUUUUUGAGGGGCUUGGUCUUUCUAGGUUAAAUUGGAAGGUUUUGGGGGAUUUAAUCCAAAACGUUGAUUCAUGUUAAGAUGAGGGGCUGAGAUUUAAAGGAUGAUAUCAACAGCUAUGAUUAAAAGAUGAGGUUGGGUUGAAUAUAUUAAAUUGAAAUAAAUUGGCUAUAAUUGCAAAGGACAGAAGGGGCUAGAAUUGCAAUUAAAUUAGAAUAAGAGGCUAAAAUCGAAAUGAAUUGAAAUAGCAAGAGUGGCUACAGAUUAAAUAAAUUGGAAUGGAUUAGGCUAAGCUUUAAAUGAUUUAGAGCAAAUUUAAGAAAAUGCUAACCAAUUAAAAUACUACACGUUAUAAUAUUUUUAUAUAAUUAAAAUCUCUUUUAAAUUUUAAAAUAUUUGAAUAAAAUAAUUACUUUCAGUUUAACUAUCAAUAAAUAUAAUAAUAAAAUAAUUACAAUAAAUUUUUUAUAAAUCAAGCUUACUAAAAUAUAUAAUUUUUUAGGCAAAAUUGACUAAAAUUUUAAGCUCAAAAUAUUUUCAAAAGUAUGUAUUUAAUCGAAUAGCAUUCCUAAAAUUGCUGAAGGUCGGUCAAAAUUGGGUGUCAACAGUUGCCCCUUGGUUGCUUGAGAAUGAAGGAUGAAUUGUCGAGCAAUCAACGCUGACUUAGUAGCCGAUUUUGUCCGACCGACGAGAGAUGUCAGUGGGAUCCAUUGAAAUGAUAUAAGGUUGAAAAUGAUACGACCGAGACUUUGGUAUUAAGCCGCCUACAUAUCUCUGGUUAUACGAGAAUUAGGUUGUGUGUAGUUCUAGACUUAGGAGUAGACGAAACUCCUAAGAAUUGAAAGAGCGGUACGGUAUUUGAACGGGAACGAUAUUGGCUUGAAUGGAUAAGAUUAGAGUAGCGAGAAAGGCAUGACAGGGAGAUUUCCGAUUUAAGAGUGCAGAAUCCAAUUAGAAGUGAUAAUAUGAGUAGCCAAGGGUUAAAUGAAAAACAGCACUACGAGUAACGAAGAAAUUGAUAGGGCCUUUGUUGUGAUAGAUGUAAGCACGAUAAUUAUAGCCGAGAGGGAGAUUGAUCUCGUCUGCAAUUUCUCACAUGACUAGAUAAAAUGGUUAGCUUAUGAAAAAUGUGAACCACCAUGAUAAAAAUAUAAGUGCUAGAAAAUAAUAAUGAAGAGAAGAGAUAAGAAGGCGUAUCUGUUUUGAGAAGAUAAUGCUCGUCUCCAUGAAUUCUGGCUUAACUUCUUGAAGAGUUAUAGCCAACUUCCAGAGAUAAGUGUCCUAUUGUAAGGCGGGAGAGCCUAAAUGUCGUAUUGUAAGACGAACGAGCCUAAAUGUCGUAUCGUAAGGCAGACGACCUGAAUGUCGUAUUGUAAGGCAGACGAGCCCGAAUGUCCUAUUGUAAGGCAGACGAACCUGAUGUCCUAUUAUGAGGUGGACGAAUCUAAAUGUCUUAUUGUAAGGUAGACGAGCCUGAAUGUCGUAUUGUAAGGCGAACGAGCCUAAGUGUCGUAUUGUAAGGCGGACGAGCCUAAAUGUCGUAUUGUAAAGCAGACGAGCCAGAAUGUCCUAUUGUAAGGCAGACGAACCUGAUGUCCUAUUAUGAAGUGGACGAAUCUAAAUGUCUUAUUGUAAGGUAGACGAGCCUGAAUGUCGUAUUGUAAGGCGAACGAGCCUAAGUGUCGUAUUGUAAGGCGGACGAGCCUAAAUGUCGUAUUGUAAGGCGGACGAGCCUGAUGUUCUAUUGUAAGGCGGAUGAACCUAAAUAUCGUAUUGUAAGGCAGACGAGUCUGACAUCCUAUUGUAAGGCAGGCGAACCUGAUGUCGUAUUGUAAGGCAGGCGAGCCUAUGUUCAUAUUUGGUAUGCCACAAUAGCAAAUUGAUAAUAGCAUCUUCAACAUAGUCUGAAUGGUAGCUCGAUACAAAUAGUAGCUCUUUAUGUCAAAUAUAUUCCUGCGUUCAGAGAAAAAUCGUAAAUUUGAAAAACAAGAUUGGGUCAUACCUGUGCUUGCUUUGAUUUCGAAAUUGCACUUCAUUGUGAUGAAAUUUUUGAGGAUUUCUCAAAAAUUUCUGCCCCAGUUUAGAGUAUAAGAUAUAUACUCAAAUUUUUGAGGUCUUCUCAAAAAUUCUUCCCCAGUUUCAAUAGCGGGGAAUUUUCUGAUCCUGCUUCACUCAAAGAAAAUUAUUAGUUCAAUAAGAAAAGUGAUUGUCUUAUAUUUGGACAUUAGGCUCGACUUCGAAUCUGAACGUCAAUUAUGUUCAAGAUUGGAUCAAUUAGCCCUGAAUUUGAAUUUGGAGAGGAAUGUUUUGGAUGACCAUGGGAAUGAAAAGAAAUUUAUUUUGAUAGAGACCGGACCCAACAAAGGGUUGCCUACGUAUCCAAAAGGAAAUCAGGUCAAACGUAGUUCAUGACUUAGGAGCAGACGAAACUCCUGAGAAUCGAAAGAGCGUUACGGCAUUCGAACGGGAACAAUAUUAGCUUUGAAUGGAUAAGAUUAGAGAAGCGAGCAAGAAAGACAGAGUGAUUUCCAGUUUGAGAGUGCAGAAUCCGAUGAGAAGCGGUAAUAUGAGUAGCCAAGGGUUAAAUGAAAAAACGGUAAUAUGAGUAUCAAAGAAUUUGAUAGGGCCUUUGUUGCGAUAGAUGUAAGCAUGAUAAUUGUAGCCGAGAGGGAGAUUGAUCUCGCCUGCAAAAUGUUAGUCUCUGCAAAUCUGUAGCUUAUAAUAUUAUUAGAGCAAAUAUAUCAAACAAACGAUAAAGGUAAACAUGAUGCAAUUUCCCAUAUUGACAAUGAUGUUUGCCAUAAGACUAUGAACAUGAUGUCUUAGGCUAUGAUGUCUAGGGCCAUGAUACGCAAAAAUUAUAUCCUCAGGUCAUGAAAAUGUUGUUUGCGGGCCAUGAAAAAUGAUGCCUUUAGACUAUGACACCUUUGGAUCAUGAUAAGCAGAAAGUAAAUCCUUAGGCCAUGAUAUGAUGUCCGCAGGCCAUGAAAAUGAUGCCUUUAGACCAUGACGCCUUAGGAAUAUGAGUAAUGAGUAAAGAAAGCGUAUCUGUAAUUCGGGCAUCUGUUGACACUAUUUCUCGGACACAUGCAAUAUUGGGCACAAUGCAAUCUUGGGCACAUGCAAAUGAUGUAAUUCUCGGGCAUAUGCAGAUCUCGGGCACAAUGCAAUCUCUGGCACAUGCAAUAUCGGGCACAAUGUAAUCUUCGGGCACAUGCAAUAUCGGGCACAAUGCAAUAUCGGGCACAUGCAAUAUCGGGCACGAUGCAAUUUUCAAGCACAUGCAAUAUCGGGCACAAUGCAGUUCUCGGGCACAAUGCAAUCUCGGGCACAUGCAAAUGAUGUAAUUCUCGGGCACAUGUAAUUCUCGGGCUCAAUGUCGUCUGGGCACAUGCAGUCAUCGGACAUGAAAGAUCUUGGACCUUUGCUUUGUCAGAAGCGUCGAGUGUCGUUUGUUGACAAUCUUCGAGUUCAGAAUAUUGUAGCUUUGACCCUUCAUCCUAUUGUAAGGAGUGGGUGCAAUUGAGAAGUUGAUUUUUCGGGAUUGAUAUGAAGUAGUUUGAUCUUUUUGUCUGAUUGGAAAGAUGUACCAAUAAUUGGCGAUUUGUCGGGCUCAAAAUAACUUGGUCCUUCAUUCUGUCAGAAGGAUAGUAUGCCAUUUGACUGGCGAUUUGGGAUCAGUAUAGAGCAAUUUGGUUCUUCCCAUUGUCGGAAGGUCAAUGUGCUAUUCGUUGGUGAUUUUCGAGCUCUGAAUAAUGUAGCUUGAUCACUCUUCCUAUUGAAAGGAUGGAAUGCCAUUGAUUAGCGAUUUGUCGGAUAUAUCGACACAUUGAUCCUUCAAGUGGUGUUGAAGUUGCUUCUUGUAUACGUACCUGUCUUUUAUGCAUUCAAAGAAAAAUAAUUAGUUAAAGGGGAGGUUGAUCUGUAUCCCUGAUUCGGCACAUUAUACUCCUCUGAUGUCUGCUCGUAUGUCCUUUGUAAUGUUGUCGAAAAUUUUGAGGCCCUACUCAAAAUUUUCUGCCCCAGUGUAGAAUUUCUGUUAUUCUGAUUUUGUAUGUAGAUUGUAGCUUGAUUGUUGUGAAUUUUUGAGAUCCUCUCAAAAUUUUGUUCGGUCUUGAUUUGCAAGAAAAUAUGUUUUUGAAGGAAUUUUUGAAACUCUUUCAAAAAUUCUGCCUCAAUAUCGAGAUUUAGCAAGAAGAAUGCUCUUAUAUGAAAAUUUUGAGACCCUCUCAAAAAUUCUGCCCCAGUUACUAAUUUGCGCGAAGAAAUGCUUUUGCAAGAGUUUUGAGUUCCCUGUAGAAAAUUCUGCUUCAGUAUCAUCAUUUGCAAGAAAAUGUCUUUCUGAUGGAAUUUUUGAGACCCUCUCAAAAAUUCUGCCCCAGUUAACAGUCAAAAGGGGAAAUGGAAUUUUAUUAUGAUAAGACCGAACUCCAUAGGAGCGCCUACGUAUCCCCUCUUAAACGGGAAUCAGGUCUGACGUAGUUCCAAAUACAAAGAGCAUAAUUCAAGACAUUAAACAGAGCAUAUAGCAACACCCAACAGAUAGAUUCUGACCAAACUUUAUUGCCCAUAUGCUAACAUGGGUACCUUCCUUGUCAGAACUUGACGGAACAUGAAUGUAGAGAAACUUAAACUUAAAUGGCAUAAGCCUUUAUUUGAAAGUGCUUCAAAUGACCUUCAACAUGUUCAUUGUUGGGGUUCCGCUGGCUCAAAGUCCUCCAAGCAUAUGAUCUUGGUAUCAAUCAAUUGNNNNNNNNNNNNNNNNNNNNNNNNNNNNNNNNNNNNNNNNNNNNNNNNNNNNNNNNNNNNNNNNNNNNNNNNNNNNNNNNNNNNNNNNNNNNNNNNNNNNNNNNNNNNNNNNNNNNNNNNNNNNNNNNNNNNNNNNNNNNNNNNNNNNNNNNNNNNNNNNNNNNNNNNNNNNNNNNNNNNNNNNNNNNNNNNNNNNNNNNNNNNNNNNNNNNNNNNNNNNNNNNNNNNNNNNNNNNNNNNNNNNNNNNNNNNNNNNNNNNNNNNNNNNNNNNNNNNNUAUUGAGGAGGAUAUGGGUAAUUUGGAAAGUGAGUGUUCUUUGGAGGCAUUUGAAUGGAGCUUGGUUGAUUUUGAGAAGUGGGGUAAGUUGGUGGAGGAUGAGAAAUAGAGUGAGUGAGUGGAGGAUUAUCUUGGAGAGUGGCUUGACUUGUGACAGGACGGUUUAUCUAUGUUUGUCUCCAGAGUGGGAUCGACAGAGAGUAACAACUUCGCCCACCCGCGCAUAUCAAACACUUCUUCUUCUAGUUCCCUUAUUUUCUUUUUCAGGCUUGAAGCCAACUCGUCUGAAGGAUGCUUCUUUUCAAUAGUCUUACUCAUAACCUUCUCAUUAGUCGCUUUCCUCUUACCUCUGUGGUUCUCAUUUGGAAGAGAAGGGAGAGAAUCCUUUGAUCACGUAUGGUAAACCAUGGUCUACAGAUCAACCAUUGAGGAAGGGUAAAAAAUAAAAGUAAAAGCAAUAGAAAACCCAAGUUAGAGUGUUGCAAAAUUGAGAUAACAAGCACAUUGAUUUAAGAUAAAACGCCCUAAAUGCAAGGAGCCUUGUUGAGCCAGAGGUAGGCCUAAGACGAAAUAUAAGUGAUGCACAAUAAUUAAUUCAAGCCUUAUUUGCCAAUUUGGAGUUUAGAUUAAAGGAAAUAACAAACUUUAUUUAUUAUAAAAUUCGAACAAUACAUCAUAACAAAAAAACUGAAAUAAACUAAGGGAAAGGGGUAACAAAUGGGAAAGUCAUCCUAAAUUCUGAAAAUCUUGAAGAUAUUGGUUCCAAGAGCUUGGCGCCAAUUGACUUCUUGUAUAGAGAGUGCCUUCAUUCUUGAUCUUCAACACGUUGCGUGCCCAUAUGUUUUCCCUUUCAUCAGUGAGCCCAUAGUAUCCUUCCUCACUCACUUCUCUGUCUUUGACCUCUUUUAGGAUCCAUAUGUAAUACUCACGUGUGCAUAAGGCCUGUCGUGCACCUAUGGGAAUGGUUAACACUCGCUCCCAUAUUUGAAGUAUGAUGUGGACUUGCAGUUUAUCUAGUCCAAAUUCAUACUUGCAGUGCUCCAUGUCAGAUCGGAGUGGUAUUACUUGAGUUCGCCCAAAUUGGCGAAGUACUCGAAGAGGAAUGUAUGGUUGAACGCCUUUUAAGCCAAUGAGCUCAAUGAAGUAUCGGUCAUCGCCUCUUACUAUUGCAUGAGGGGUGGACAACCAAUGGAGCUUCCAUUGGAUGCGGUAGCUCUCGAGCUCUGUCAAGAAUAUCUGCCAGUCUAUGAAUCCUACAGGGACGGUGAAAGCUAUCAUUCUUCUUGGAUGAUUGCUAAUUUUGUUGCCAUAACCCAGAAAGAUGUCUACCGCGUCAGACCGUAGGUAGAAGUGUUCAAUAGCCCAUAAUUGCAGCAAAAGGUUGCAUCCCUCGAAAAACAUUCGACCAUCGACGCAUGCUGACAGACUCCUCAUCAUUUCCGCUAAGAUCAUAGGUACUAGGGUUUUCCUAGGUUCGCCCUCUCUUUGGGCUAAAUCUCGAACCACAUAACCCAAGCGUGUGUCAAUCAUUCCCCUUAUCUUAGGAAAAACUAGGGAUCCUAAUAGGGCAAUGGCAAAGGCAUUUAGACGAUAUAUUUCCCAUUCCUCGACAGAGCACUCAAAAUCAUCAAUAAAGGAGUAAUAACUAUCCACUCGGCCAAAACGUGAAUAUAGAAAGUCGAAAUGAAUCCACCCAAGGUCUAAAGAAGGUAAGGUUGGAUUUGACUUCAUUCCGAGACUUUUGUAAGAACUCCCUUGAUGAUGGCUUAUAUGGUACUAUCAUUUCACACUCGUGGUAUGGCAUGUCAAUGAAACCACUUAUCUCUUCAAUCGUUGGUGCCAGUCAAAAUCCACAAAUUUGAAGACCCAUCCUCACAGGGUCCCAAAAUUCUAGCAAGGCCCUAAUCAGGUGAGGGUUUGGUAUGACAAAGAUGAGGUAGGUAGGUCCGCCCAAGAGUUAACGAACUUCCAUUUGGCGCUCCCUCUUAAUAUCAUCCACCAGCUCCUUAGCUUGUAGUUUAAAUCUACGACCAUUUGCGGGUUUGGGGAGUUGAAAGCAUCCAUGACUCUGCAAACAAAACAACAAACAACUUCUAAACUCCAUUUUUGGCAAAGUUUGGCUUAAUUUAAUUAACGUGAUCACAUUGACACAUAAUUAUGCAAUUUGUCUAAAGGAGGUUGGGGUCCCUUAGACGAUAGGGUGGUUACUAAUUAUGUGGAAUGACGCCAAGGUCAAACCACCUAGGGUUUAUGCAUCAUGUAUGAUCUAAGUAAGAUUUCUAAGAGUUGGCUUGACACGGACUUGAAAGGGAUUCUAUGCGAGAAGGCUCGUGGUUUCCCGGUAGUAAAACUAUCCAUUCCGUCCAUGCAUAUGCCGACUCUCUAUAAUUGGGUGUUUGAAGAAAAUUGGAGUAGUUGUGAGAGGUGCAAAGGCACAACAUCACGGUAACAAAAAAAGAAAAAAGAAAAAAGGAAGAAGGUCCCAAUUGGGGAAAGUAUGAGCGGAAUGCCAGUUAUCAAAGCAGUAACAUUUAGCAUUUAGGUUAAAAAGGGUAACAUAUAGACAAUUUUAAGGAAAGCAGUAAAUAAAUAAAUAAAUACAAAAAUAAGCAUGCAAACACAUAAAUAAAUCAAGCAAAUAAGGAAAGGGAAUAAAGUUUAAACAUGGAGUACACAAAAAAAAAGGGAAAAAGGGAAAGGGCGAAACAUGGGAAUAAUCAAAUAAGGGAGAGGGAAAGGGACUAAACAUGGAAAUAACAAUAUUUAAGGAAAGCGAGUAAACAAGGAAAGCAAAAAUUAAUUAGAAUGGGAAUAACCAAACAAACAAUGAAAUGACAGAUAAAGUAAACCCCACAUAAGCACGAAACACGUAAUGGUUAGAACCUAAUAUCCCCAGCGGAGUCGCCAUUCUGUCCCGCCCCGUUUUUCUCAAAACGGCCAUUCCUUUCGGAUGCACGACCUAACAACUCUUUUGGGUUUUGGAGCAAUUGAAGAGUUGCCAGCUAACGAAUUAAGGCGCGUUAGGACACCUAUCUAACCUAGCUAAGUCUUACUAGGGUCAACGAACCAGAGAUCAGGGUAAGGGUUCAAAUUACCUCGAGGAAAGGUGUUAGGCAUCCCUCGAGGUCCACAAAUGUGGGUCCCGGUCGUAUCUUAUGCAAUUUAUGUGGGGGUUACAAGUAGCAUUUAAGAUCACUUCAUUUGUUAUUUAUUUAAUUAGCAUGGUUACUAAGUGAUAACUAUAAUUAAACAAUUAGGAUUAAUUAAAUUAUCUACUCUAUGAAUUAAGCAUGAAAGAUUAGGUGAUGUAAUAAGCAAAAAAAUAAAUAUUUAAACAAUUAAUAAAAGAGGAGCGAGGAGACAGAAAUUGUACAUAUUAAUAAGCAAAUAAUUUAUUUUUAUUUUUAUUUAAGCUACCCCAAAUAAUUAUAAACAGAUAAAGGGGGGCAAAAAGAAAGGGAGACUCUGAAGGACUUUAGGAUCAGCACUCGACUUUCUUUAUUUAUCUCCAUAGGGCCUAAACUACCCCUACCCCACCACCGCAUGCUUUUCGUCUCUAAGAGGUGUCUAUCGUCCCGACUUAAGGUCCAAGAAGCAUUGAACUACUAUUACGAAGGGUUUGGACUGAAGUAAACUCCUAAUAGACCCGCCUAGACACCAAGUCAAACAAUUUGGACGAGCAUUUAGCACAUAAGUCUCAUAUUGGCCUCUAGAUUUUAAUUCACAUGCUGGCAAACACAAGUAGAGUGAAAAGGACGCAUGUUAAGUGUGUGCGCAUGAACAAGCAUUAUAACAAAAACAAUUAUUUAAUUGAGAAGGGGCAGAAAAUUACCAAGUGCAGGAAAAGUAUUAACUGAUUUAAAAGAGUGGCAUAACAAUGAUUAGGAUGCGGGAAACAGUUUAAGCAAUAGCAGAUUUAAAGUCUUUAGAUGAGCCAGUGGCAGAAUGACAUUAAUUAAUAUGCAGCAAUUGAUUUAUUUUAAGUGGCAAAACAGUGCAGAGAUUAGUUUGAACAAGAUUUAAUCGGGACAACAAGUAGCAGAUGCAGAAAAUUAAUUUUAGUAGCUGAUUUUCAGUAGUAAAACAGAGCAGAACCUAAUUGGUUUGAGCCAGAUUCGAUCUAGACAGCAGAUAAUAAUUUUAAAACAGAAUUUCUCUCUUUUUUGUUUAAUAUGGUGAUUAACAUCUCAACUUAUUAAUUAUGUCCUAUAGGCAUGAUUUCAAAGUGUGAAUAUGCUGAAAAUGUUAUCAAACCCAUAAGCACGAUGUCUGUUUCAUUUAAACAAAUUGUUAACCAUAUAGGCAUGAUAUUUAUCUAAUAUGUAACACAGGUUAAACCUAUAUGCAUGAUUUCUAAGCUCAAAACAUACUGAAAAUUAUUUAGAUCCUAUAGGCAUGCUUUCUACCUUUAUUUUACUUAUGCUUAUAUUUUAUAUAUACAAGGAAACAAAUGUCAUUAAUAAAUAGGCAGAAUAUAUUCAAAACAAAUUCGCUUUAGUUAUUUAACAUGCUGAAAGAAUGACUUUAACAAGUUGUUCUAUUGAAUAUAUUAUUUAGAUCCUAUAAGCAUAAUUUCCUAGUGAAUAUGCUAAAAUUUAUUAAUGGAGCCUAUAUUAACAAAUAACACAUAUGACAAAUUAACAUAAAAGUUCAGAUUUUAAUCCUUUUAAAUUUGUUAGCAUGCUAAAAAGGUUUGUUAAGCAAAUGAAACUAAGAUCUGGAUAUACUAGUUAUUGAACUCUUACUAAUUCAAGUUAAUUAAUUAAGAGACUAUCAAUUGUUAUAAUGCGACAUACCUAAAAGCAUUACAAAUUUGUUAAUUUUUAAAAAAAAAUAUACAAACACAAAUAAACAAUUGAUUUUAAGUUGGAUUAUUUAAGGGAUUCCGACAUAAUUAUAAUAUAUGCGUAGCAAUCACACAUAACAAGAAUGAACUAAACUAAAAAUGGAAAUAGACAAUUAGCACGUAUAUCCACCUCCCCUUAGGCGAUCCCCAAGUUAUAUCACAUAUAUAGAGUUAGAGUUUACAAAUUAUUACAAAACAAUAAAAGAAUAAAUAAUAUACAAAAGAUAAAUUAAAUCAAUUCGUCUAUUGCACUGCCAUGGCGACUCUUCAUGUCUUGAACCUUUAAGUUCAAACCCUGUUAAACAAAGCAACAAUACAACCCAAGUAAUAUACAACACAUGUAAUAACAAUUAUUUUUUAUGAACUAAAACAGAAUAGAACAUACGUAUUACUUCAAGCCAUAUAUUGCACAUAUGAAAUCAUACACAUAUAAAGGGGAGAGGAGAACUGACCCGAACACUUCCUUUAUUUAUUUCAAUCAUACAAUAUCCAUAAUAGAUGAUGCAAGCGAAAUUUAAACUAAUGAAAAAGAGAACUAACCGAUUAUGCAGAUUUAUUAAUCAGCAAUGAAGAUCAAACUUAUUCCGACACUAGACCCGAACACAGCAAAACCAAAUAGAGAAGCUUCUUAGAAUAUUCACCCCAUUUUAAAUCUUUAGAAUAGAGGGUACUUUAUGCCUUUUGUUAGAAUAUGUCAACAGGAGUGACCGGGUCCUCUAUGUGUGCGUGAAAAGGUUAUUUAUAGUGGAGAAGAGGGCAUAUAAUAUAAGGAAAGGAAUAAUUUAGAAUCAAUUAAAUAUUAUUUUUUCCUUAUUCAAAGAAUACCAAAUCAUUAACAUUGUGUUUUAGCUCCAUCGAAACUUAACUAAAAUAUUGCAAGUAAUGGACAAAUCAUCCUUAAUUAUGGCAACUACAAUCAAUUAACAUUAAUAAUAAAAAAUAAUAAAGCCAAUUUUACCAUUACCAAGAGCCAAAAUCUUCAAAUAAAAACCAACUUAGCAUAAAUUAAUCCACAACAUGCAAAAUCAAAAUGAUCAUAUUAAGGAAAAAAAGCAUAAGUCAAGCAAUAAUAUUUUACCGUAAUUAUUAAACAAGCAAGAAAUUAGACAAGAAUUAUAUAUGGCCUAAAAGAAAUCAAUUUACAACAUGAAAUAUGCAUACUUGAUUAAAAUUUUUUUCUCCUUGAUACGGAUUAAUCAAAUCAACAAAUCAAUGGAUUAUUAUCAAUUUAGACUUACCAUGCUAUAAGCUAAAAUCAUGUAAAUGAAAAGAAUAACAUUCAUAACAUAAGCAGGGAAAGGUUUGGAACAAGAUUUCAACAUUAUCAAAUUUAGCAACUCUAAUGGUAAUAUUAUUCAUAUGAUUAGAGAGACACAAACUAGUAGCAUGUUCAAGAUGAAAUUCAUAGCAUUUACUAGCUUUAACAUAGAGUAGACAUAUGAAUCAAGAUUAAGAACUCUAUAAUCAAAUCUAAAUAACUAGAUAAUAAAUCGAACAAGAGAGCGAACCUGGAUGGAUCUGAUAAGACCCAAUAUUUUUUAACAAAUCAAAACUCAAAGCUUUUCCUCUAAACCUGCCCUGUCUAGCGGUGCAAUAGCUGCUGACCGGAAUUCUCGCCUUGAGCUGCUGCUGCUGGUUCUGUUGCUCGCCGGAGAAAGAAAAAAGGGCCGGAGUGGGAGCUGGCUUUCGCUGGCUGCUGCUGUCUGCCACGCCUGGCUGUGGUCACCGGAGCUGCUGGUGCCGGUGGAGGAGGUGUUCGCUGCUGCUGCUGGUGGUUGCUGGCUUCCUCCUCCUCGCUGCUGCUGGUUGCUACGCUGGCUGCUCACUGGAGUUGCUGUCCAGCUUCCUUCGCCUGAAAAGGAGGAGAAGAAGAGAUAGGGGCAAGGGGAGAUAAAUGAGAAAGUGCGAAGGGAGAGAGAGGGCGCCGGAGAGGGAGACGGGGAGGAGGAGAGGCGACUGCCUCCAGUGGCUUUCGCCGGAAAAAAAUAUGGUGGGGAGAGAGGGUGGCGGCUGCCCGGAGAGGAGAGGAAGAGAUGAAUUUUUUUUGAGGGGC